GAUGAACGCUGGCGGCGUGCCUAAUACAUGCAAGUCGAGCGAACGGACGAGAAGCUUGCUUCUCUGAUGUUAGCGGCGGACGGGUGAGUAACAAGUGGAUAACCUACCUCUAAGACUGGGAUAACUUCGGGAAACCGUAGAUAAUACCGGAUAAUAUUUUGAACCGCAUGGUUCAAAAGUGAAAGACGGUCUUGCUGUCACUUAUAGAUGGAUCCGCGCUGCAUUAGCUAGUUGGUAAGGUAACGGCUUACCAAGGCAACGAUGCAUAGCCGACCUGAGAGGGUGAUCGGCCACACUGGAACUGAGACACGGUCCAGACUCCUACGGGAGGCAGCAGUAGGGAAUCUUCCGCAAAGGGCGAAAGCCUGACGGAGCAACGCCGCGUGAGUGAUGAAGGUCUUCGGAUCGUAAAACUCUGUUAUUAGGGAAGAAAAUAUGUGUAAGUAACUGUGCACGUCUUGACGGUACCUAAUCAGAAAGCAACGGCUAACUACGUG
rnacentral:rRNA from 1 species